AUGGCCGACUGCAUCAGCGCCCUCCCUGACGACCUUCUCCACCACGUGCUUUCCUUCCUCCCCGCGCACGAUGCGGUGCGGACCUGUAGGCUCGCGCGGCGCUGGCGCCACCUCUGGAAAUCCGCAUGGGCCCUGCGCGUCACCGGCGUCAAGGGAUGCAUCGACCCCGAGAGGUUCUUCAACUUCAUCGAUAGCCUGCUCCUCCUCCGCGACCCCAGUGCGGGCCUGAACUCGUUCGAGCUGGACCUCGACUACGACGACUUCAACUUCGAUUUGUUUGAGUUCCUGCAGAUGCCUGCCAACGAGUUGCACGUGAACACGUGGAUCCAGCACGCCCUAACGUGCGGGCCCCUUAUGCGGCUGGUGUUGUGUACCGAAGUGCCUCUAGAGCUUCCUAAUGACCCUUUCAUAUCUCAGCACCUCACAAAAUUGGAACUUCGGAAGGUGGAUGUCCGCAGCAGCACGCUCGAUUUCUCGGGUUAA
rnacentral:rRNA from 1 species